rnacentral:rRNA from 1 species
GUAUAAGAGACAGCAGUCGCCGCGGGAAUACGGAGGAUCCAAGCGUUAUCCGGAAUCAUUGGGUUUAAAGGGUCCGUAGGCGGUUUAGUAAGUCAGUGGUGAAAGCCCAUCGCUCAACGGUGGAACGGCCAUUGAUACUGCUGAACUUGAAUUAUUAGGAAGUAACUAGAAUAUGUAGUGUAGCGGUGAAAUGCUUAGAGAUUACAUGGAAUACCAAUUGCGAAGGCAGGUCACUACUAAUUGAUUGACGCUGAUGGACGAAAGCGUGGGGAGCGAACAGGAUUAGAUACCCGGGUAGUCCCUGUCUCUUAUAA